ensembl:lncRNA
UGAGAAAAGUCAAGCGUGCAGCUGCCAAGAUGCCACUUGCCACCAGUUUGGCCAUAUUUCAGAGCUGCAACAUCACUGGAGUGCCCAAAAGCACAAGGUGUGCAAUACUCAGAGACAUGGCCAAGGUAAGAAAGGCUGAAAGACGACCACCACUGAACAAGACACACAAGCUGAAACAUCAAGACUGGGCCAAGAAAUAUCUCAAGACUGAUUUUUCUAAGGUUUUAUGGACUGAUGAAAUGAGAGUGAGUCUUGAUGGGCCAGAUGGAUGGGCCCGUGGCUGGAUUGGUAAAGGGCAGAGAGCUCCAGUCCGACUCAGACGCCAGCAAGGUGGAGGUGGAGUACUGGUUUGGGCUGGUAUCAUCAAAGAUGAGCUUGUGGGGCCUUUUCGGGUUGAGGAUGGAGUCAAGCUCAACUCCCAGUCCUACUGCCAGUUUCUGGAAGACACCUUCUUCAAGCAGUGGUACAGGAAGAAGUCUGCAUCCUUCAAGAAAAACAUGAUUUUCAUGCAGGACAAUGCUCCAUCACACGCGUCCAAGUACUCCACAGCGUGGAAAGGUGGCUAAAUUGGUCGCUGAUUUUUUUUUUGUUUUGUUUUUGAAUGUCAGAAAUGUAUAUUUGUGAAUGUGGAGAUGUUAUAUUUGUUUCACUGGUAAAAAUAAUUGAAAUGGGUAUAUAUUUGUUUUUUGUUAAGUUGCCUAAUAAUUAUGCACAGUAAUAGUCACCUGCACACACAGAUAUCCCCCUAAAAUAGCUAAAACUAACAACAAACUAAAAACUACUUCCAAAAACAUUCAGCUUUGAUAUUAAUGAGUUUUUUGGGUUCAUUGAGAACAUGGUUGUUGUUCAAUAAUAAAAUUAUUCCUCAAAAAUACAACUUGCCUAAUAAUUCUGCACUCCCUGUAUAUAUGGUCAAGAUGACCUUCUGAAAUUCAUACCAAGCAUCCAUCAACAUGGAGAACAAAGAUCAUCUGCAGCAAAUAUUUGAUGCUAUUUUGUCAUUAAGGAACAAAAUCUCUGAGGAAUGUUUCCAGCAUUUUGUUGAGUCCAUGCUACAAAUAAAUAAAGCAAUAAUGAAGGCAAAACGGGGUCCAAACCACUAUUAUCAAGGUGCACCUAACAGAGUGGCCACUGAGUUUAUAUAAAUACACAACCUGGAGAAACUUUAGUCAUUUCUAAACUUCACAUUUAUUAUUCUUGUCCUUCCUCUGUGCACUCUGGGAUUAGAAUUAAGCUCUUGUUAUUUUUCUUCUAUUCUUAUAAUACGGCACAUAAUUUUCACUGCAUCAAAUGAAAGCCCUGGAAAUAUUCACGUUCCCCCCGAGACAUGAGAUGUUUUCCAGUUGAGACAGCAUGCUCUGUUUGCAGAGUUAUCUGCCCUCUUUCCCCCUGCAGGUCAAAGCUACAAGGUGAGCUGUUCCAUAAGAGCCUUUAAUAGCAUGUUAAGAAUUCAGCACGAACUGGUUGAACUCAUGUGCCUCCACCUCUCUUAACAUUGUUUUCUUUCAACACCGACUACAAGGGUUCUGACUUGCCAGUUGGAUCAUUUUGAGGAAAUGAAAGAUAAUUAAAACAGUCAACUGUUUGUAUAAAAUGUCUUGCAUCUUGUGCGAACAGCUUACCAAACAAAUUAUCAUGGGGAAGUCAUUUUGUAACAUAUUUUUGUCAAAUUUGCUGUUGCUAGGGGUCACACUGUGGUUACAUGUUUUUUUGUUUCUUUUUUUUUUGUUCACUUCCACAGAAACCUAAAGCAGACAACCUUCUCGAGAAAAUGUGUUGACAUAUUUCAAAAGCUUAACUGUGAACUGUGCAUGGCACAACUCACUUCCUGUUGCACAGAUCAAACACGAAUGUGAGAAUGACCUUUUAUUGAAUAAGUGCUAUUUUUAAAUACAAAAUAAAACUUUCUCAAUUAAAUCUCUCCAACGAUUUUAAAUAUUUCAAACUGUGCGCAAACUGAUCAUUUAAAAUAAUGAUCUUUUUAAAAAAUGGCUACGACAAAGUCAGUGGUGAAAGAUCAUUUUCAGUUUAUACGUUAAAUGAAGGACGGCCUUCUGACCAAAGGCUCCAUUUAUGCACUUACAGACUUUUUUGACUAUCAAGUUGAAUAUUAAUCAUAAUAUUCUUCCUCUCACCUGCCUUUAUAAUUGACUUUUUCUACCUAAGAACCUUCCCGACACUCUGAAUUAUGAGACCCACGGGUGUUAGCAGCUCAUAAAGCCUGCUCGCUGCUACUGUAAUUUCCCCUGUCAAUUAUUUCCAAAUGUACCUAAAUG